AGGCAUGCCUCGACCGAUUGUGAUGUACCCAUCUCCAAGAGCAGAACUUGGCACAGGCUGACCUCCAGUAUUUGCACCCAUUGCAUACGCUGAAUCAAGAUCAUAUACUACCAAGAUGUCACAGGGCUUACUGGAGGCAUUGGUCGUCUUGGUACAGAUGGUGUUCCUUCUCCAAAUAGAGUCGUAGCUUGUACUGGAUUUGGCGAUCUGUGUUGACGUUGACUAUUAGUACAGAAGAGCGACAAACAUUUCAGUUAAUCAUUGACAUAUCAUAAUCAGCAAGCGGUACUGUGUGGUAUAUUUUUUACCUGAUUAGUGGUUUCGAGACUCGAGAAAUUGGACCAUACUUGCUGGCUGGGGGGACAUCGAAUGGUACGAAUUCACCAUCCAACAAUAUAGAAUCAGAGUGAUGAAAAUUAUUUCCAUGAUUUAUAUUGGAUGAUGAAGAUACUUGCGAUCCAGAAACGUUU